GUGAGUCAUCGAAUCUUUGAACGCACAUUGCGCCUUCUGGUAUUCCGGGAGGCAUGCCUGUUCGAGCGUCAUCAAACACAUCCUCAAGCACUUUUGCUUGGUAUUGGUGGCAGAUGUCCGCAUCUCCUCUUAAAUUCCUCAGCGGAAACUACUGCGGUCUCAGGUGUCAUAAGAUUACCUUUCGCUUGAUAACUGCCGGUAGGUUCUUGCUGUGAAGAGCCCCCCAGCUAUUCUUUUACGUUUGACCUCGAAUCAGGUAGGGAUACCCGCUGAACUUAAGCAUAUCAAUAAGCGGAGGA
rnacentral:misc_RNA from 1 species